UAGUCCACGCCGUAAACGAUGGUUACUAGCUGUUCGGACUUCGGUCUGAGUGGCUAAGCGAAAGUGAUAAGUAACCCACCUGGGGAGUACGUUCGCAAGAAUGAAACUCAAAGGAAUUGACGGGGGCCCGCACAAGCGGUGGAGCAUGUGGUUUAAUUCGAUGAUACGCGAGGAACCUUACCAGGGCUUAAAUGUAGUCUGACAGCUUUAGAGAUAGAGAUAGCUAUUUCUUCGGACCACUUACAAGGUGCUGCAUGGUUGUCGUCAGCUCGUGCCGUGAGGUGUCAGGUUAAGUCCUAUAACGAGCGCAACCCCUGUUGUUAGUUGCCAGCAUGUAAAGAUGGGAACUCUAGCAAGACUGCCGGUGCAAACCGCGAGGAAGGUGGGGAUGACGUCAAAUCAUCACGGCCCUUACGUCCUGGGCUACACACGUGCUACAUGGUAGGGACAGAGAGCAGCCACUUCGCGAGAAGGAGCGAAUCUAUAAACCCUAUCACAGUUCGGAUCGGG
rnacentral:rRNA from 1 species